GACCUUGCACUUGCCAGGCAGGCGCUUGUGCCUCUGAGCUAUAUACCCAACUAGGAGGAAGACUCCUAUCCAGGACAUGCUAACAGCUUUUUUCCUUGUCUACCUCCAGACCUGGAUUUCAAGGGACUGUGCAAUACAACCAGUGUCUUAUGAGCUCAGCCCCUUUGAAGCAAGCUGCUCCUCAACCGACACACUCACUGUUUAUAUGAGACCAAGACAGAAAAGCAGCACUGAACUUCUUUCCUUCCUGGUGGGAUCUACCAUGAAGAAAAAAGUAUCCUUGUGUAUGUGGUCAUAAAAAACAUUGAUCAUGUAAAUCAUCAAAGACCCACAGUGUUUAUAUCCUGGAUAAAUAAACCCAGUGCAAGAAUGCUGGGUCAGAAAAAGAAGUUAGUUAAGGUAAGUGUGUUCCAGUUUGUAUUACUGCUGCAUAACUAAUGACCAUAACCCUAGUGAUUUAAAACAAUGAACAUUCAUUCACUAGCUCACAGUCCCUAUGGAUUAGGAGUCCCCUAAAUUUAGCUGGAUCCUUCAAGCCUGCAAUGAUGAUGUUACCCAGGGCCAGAGUGUAAGGUCUGGCUAGAGAAAGGUGUGCUUCCAAGCUCCUUUAGUGUCUUAUGAUUUGUUUCUUUGCAACUGUAGGACACAGUGAAGUUUGAUUCCUCAAACGACCAGUGAGAGCCAGACUUUAGAGUCAGUCUGUUACCAAGAUGGAGGCUUAUAUAAUACAAUGGAAUCAGGGGAGUGAUAUCCCAACAGCUUUGCUGCGUUCUGUUGGUUAAAGCAAAUCACGAGUCUUAAAUACUCAAGGGGAGGGAAUUAAGCAAGGAUAUGAAUUCCAGGAGGCAAGGAUCAGGGAGGCACAUUAACUUUUGCUUGUCAUAGUAAACAAGUCUUGAAUCUCCUUAAAGUACUUUCCAUGUGAGUAAUCGAGGAAGCUGAAAGAUUGGGAAAAUGUAAAAUCAGAAACUCAUUGACUGAAAAAUAUUCAUUACACGUCUUUCACUUCAGGAAAAGGUGGGUAACACAGCAUUCUAUAA
rnacentral:lncRNA from 1 species